UUCUCUUUUUCGCUCCGCUCUCUCAUUCUCAAUCUCUCCACUCUUUCACAAUCAAUUUAAUAUAUAAAAAAAAUCAUUUUUUUUCCUUUUCACUCACUCCACUGACAGACCACUCUCUCUCUCAAUCUCUCUACUCUCCCAAUCUCUCCGUUCUCUUCUUCCUCAAUCUCUCUCUUUCUUCUCAUCUCAGCAGGUCUUUCUCACUUUCUCAAACUCACCGCUCUCUCUCUCUCUCCGUCGUUGGGUGCGUCACCACCGCCGCCGUCGAUGCUCCGGAUCCCAGCUCCGACGCCGCAGCCUUCGUCCGAAGUCGUGAUCGUCUUCCGGUAAACGAUAACGGAAAUCUCUUAGCUAGGUUGGAGGAUAAAAAAUCCCCAAAUCGGAAAUUCAAGAUAAGUUCCCUUUUUCUAUUUUUUUUUUAAUCUACUUUGUUUGCAUUUGAUUUGAACAGAUCACUUUGGUCUGUUUUGGUGAGUUUGUGGGGAAUAUGGUGCAAGGCGAUUGAACCUAGGGAUUAUGAGUUGGUUCAGAAUGAGUCAACUCAUUGAGUACUGUUUUUUAUGGUGAGUUGACUCGCCUAACUCAGUGAGUUUUGAUUUAAUUGAUUUUAGAAUAAUGGGCUCCUGUAUUUUUUUUUUUUUUUUUUUAUAUGGGCCAAGACCGGUUAUAUUUUUUUUUUAUGUGGUUUUUAAAAAAUUCGGGCCCAGGGCUUUCCUUUUGAAAAUAAUAAGCUGUUGAAAAGGGGCCCUAUUUAUUUAUUUUUUAUUUGGGCCAGCUUUCCAUCUUAGGCCUUUAGCUUUCAGAAUUUAACCUGGGCCUGGGAUUCUUUUAAUAGUGGACUGGGUCCAGGGACUCAGGUCCAGGUGUACCUGGGCCUUGGGACGGGUCAAGCCAUGCGUCGGAUCUGACUAAUUUGAGAGGGCUAUUGUUUCCAUUUUUUUUUUUGGGAACGAUUAAUGAAUAAAUCACAGAAAAUAAUUAUGAAUAAUUCAAAAAAGGGAGAAUAGUAAUACCUACCUGUUGUCUUCUAACUCUUCGCAGAGAAUACCCUUUUGUAAUGAUACUGCCGUAGGUAGAUUAAUUUGAUUUGCUCUGCUCCGGCUAUGAUGUUUUGAUUUGAUUUGCUUUGCUUUGCUCCGGCUAUGAUUGGAUGCUGCUUCUUUGCUCCCAAUUACUCUGUCUUCUGAGAUUGCCCAGGAUCACUCUAUGACUAUAUUGCUGCUUCAGGUGGCCGAGCUGAUCUCUCUGACUAUAUGGCUACUAUUAUAUCUCUCAGUAUUCUCCCUGGGCGAGCUGCACUGUGUUCUCCGUGCAGGUGUGCUAGCAGACAGGAUUUGGGGGAAGUAUGAGGAUUAUUUAUUUAUUUAUUUAUUGUUUUAGUGCCCAAGAAGGCAGCCAAAUUCCCAGAAACAACAACCCUCCAAUAUUCUUUCGACCACAAGAAGUUCAAGUUUUUUUCCAUUUUAAUUUUAUUAUUUAAUAAAAUAUUAAAUAAUAGUUUGUUUGGGAAAAAAAAUUCCACUCACGUAAUCUCGCAGAUGGUCCUGCGAGAUUUAAAUAGUCAGGGGUACUCGUGUGCUGCGAGAUUUGUAUGGACAUUUGCAUGGCCGUGUUUUUCUACCUCCACACACAUUUAGUUUGUUGCUGGCACAAAUUGGAGAAGAUGAGCUCUCAGAUUUGCAGAUCUGCGGCAAUUUGAUGGCAGAUGUAAGCAUUGGAGAGGUAGGAUCCGAACGUCUCACUGAGCUGGAAAUGGUCAUCUGUCUCCAACGUCGGAGAAGACGGUGGCAGCGGCAACGGCAACGGCAACGGCGACUGAGACGGCCACGUCUAAACUCUGCAACUAAAAACAGAGCAAAAAAAUAAAGUGAUUUCAUCAAUGUAUAUCUCUGGCUCAGGCAUGGAAAUUUGGCAGGGGUAGGGGAGACCAUUGAUCUGCCAAGAAUUAAGAAACAGCUGAGAGUUAGAAAGAGGAAGAAACUGGACUACAUAAUUGGUUUUAAGGAGAUCAAAAUGGAGGCUCAGUAAGGAGGUUGCUAAAUUUCAGAGGAAAAAUCCAUUUACAGCAGCUGAAGAAGUAUCACCUCUGCAAUCAUAUAUUCAGUUUGCUGCACACUUGAUUGAAUGUUUCCAAUAUAGCCUAAAACACUUCCCCUGCAAUUGAAAAGGCUUUGUUAGAUAGAAAUUGAGUACCAUAUUGAGAAUUUUUUUUGCAAAACUGAUUUCAAUGACUAAAAAUAGUUUGGGAGUAGGUUUGUGAAAAAUUUCUAGUUGAAUUCUAGGUGUUCAGAUUUAUGGGAUCAAAACAUAAAAUCAUUUUGGUUGAAUCACAUGAGUCAUUUUGUGAAUACAAUUUGGGCUAGCUGCUGUAAAUGUUAUGGUAUAAUAAUAAUAAUAAUAAUAAUGGAUCUAACAUUUGGUUUGUAGCUGAAAAUUGAUUUUGGGUUUGAAAACUAAUUCAGUGUAAGAUCAUUUUGCGGUCAAAAUCUGUUUAGGGUUUGGAAAUCAAAUCGAGUUUGAAAGCAAAAAAUCAGAAGAAUUAGAAGAGAAAUUUAAAGAAGAAGAAGCAGAAAUUAGAAGAGGAAAAAUUAGAACAAGGAGAAGAGGGCAUACUUGUGCGGGAGAGUAGGCGAUGAUGGUUGCGAGAAUCGCGAUGGUGGCCAUGAUAGGUGAUGGAGCCAGCAGCUGGCGGUGGUGGCCGCGACUAGCCCAGCACGGCCGGCCGUGGCAACCAAAAGAAUAGGUGAUGGCGGCUUUGAAUGUAGGCCACAAUCCUCGCGGCGCCCCCCCCCCCCCCGGGGGGCGCGCAAGAGAGAGAGAGAGACGGACGCUUGUGACGAAGGCAGCUGGCCUUAGGCGGCUUUCAAAGGCGGUGCUGCUGAGAUCAAUGGUCUGCCCUGCCCCUGCCAAAUCUCCAUGCAAUGCAAAUCUCGCAGGAUCAUUUGCAAGAUUUGGCCGCCAAGCAUCACACAUGAAUUCUCUCGCAAUUUGAGUCUCAGCAGGAUGGUCUAGCAAGAUUACCAAAGAACUUUUUUCUAAACAAAGUAUUAUUAAUAUUUUAGUAAAUAAUAAAAUUAAAAUAAGAAAAAACUCCAAGAAGUUCUCCAUGAGCAUGCUCCAAGGGUCAUAGUGACCAUCAAAGCGCGGAAUGUUCGGCUUUACAAAACUUUCGAAAGCCAUCAAUUGAACUUUUUACUCCUCAAAAUCCAGUCUAAUACCACUGUUGCAAACAAAAAUUUGCAAGAUGGAAGACUUUACACAAUAGCAGUAGAGAAAGCAGAGGAUGUAUGUUUUCUGCAGUACUUCAUUAAUCAACAAACAGCCUAUAUAAAGGUUAAUACAUAACUGAUAAUAACAUGAAAAUAGGCACUACCCACCGUUCAAAACAAACUAAUAUGGACUAGGUAAAAAAGAAAAGUUCACUGACCAUCAAACAUGCAAAUUAUGCAAAUUACUAAUUUUCUCAACAAAGAAAUCACGCUUUCAUCUAGGGGCAGAAAGAACAGAUGCUUGUGGUACUGUGAGAGCAUGGUCAUUGGAAACAGGAGGAGUUGGCAUUGCAUGGCUAAACUUGUAUAUGAUGUUUGGAUCUACCUCCAUUACUCCAUCCAAAACCUUCACUACCGUCGACAUAAGAGGCCUUCUUGCAUGAUCGUCCUGUAAACACCAAGCUCCAAUCCUUAUCAUCCUCAAGAUUUCUUCUUUAUGACUUUGCAGUUCUUCAUCCAAAUUCUCCACGAUAUCUAUAAGCUGGUUCUCCUCGACUUUUUUCUGCAGCAGUCCCAAUAAAUGAUUGUCAGAUUCAGACCGAGAUCGAUCCAAAUUUCUUCUUCCACAGACCACCUCAAGGAGAACAAUUCCAAAGCUAUAGACGUCCACUUUCACUGUGAUUCUUAGUUGACACCACUCUGGAGCAAGAUACCCUGGUGUUCCCCUCAUAUUGGUCUGGACUUGGCUCUCACCCCUGUCCAUUAGCCUAGACAACCCAAAAUCAGAUACCUUGGCAUUGAAAUUUUCAUCCAAGAGAAUGUUUUGUGGCUUUAUAUCAAGAUGAGCUAUUCUUUGUCGGCACUCUUCGUGUAGAUAAGCCAGCCCUUUGGCGAUGUCUAGAAUAAUCUUCUUCCUCAUUUGCCAAUCCAAACAUGGUUUCUGGUCAUUGCAGAAAAUCCAGUUAUCCAAUGAACCAUUACACAUGUAUUCAUACACUAAAAGCCUGCAAGACUUCUCUGCACAAAAUCCGAUCAACCGGACAAGAUUAAAAUGGUGUAUGCUUCCUAUCGUCUCAACUUCUGCUAAGAACUCUCUCAUUCCUUGGCCCAUUUCAUCUAAUCGCUUGACUGCAAUCCUUGUGCCAUCUCCUAGCUCUCCUUUGAACACAGACCCAAAUCCUCCGCUACCAAGUUUUUCCUUGAAAUUCUCCGUUGCAAUGCGUAGAUCUUCAUAUGAAAACCUCUUUGGCAUUCCAGGGACUUGCUUGUAAUUGUCCAGCACAUCCCUUUUGUUCCUCUUCUGCAAUGUCCCUAGUAACCUAUUUGCAAGACAAAUAAUGAUAACAACAGCACAAGAAGACCCUGCUAUUAUUGCCACCAAAUUUAUUUUAUUGCCUGAAGGUGGUGAUGGUAGUAAAAUAUCUUGUGCAGGGCUUGGUGCAACAUAAGGAAUCUGUACCUUGAUGAAUGUUGCUGAAGUGAAAUUGUAGUUCGGAAUUUUCCCAUCUCUCAUGGACAAGAUAUCAGAUGGCAUGUAACAAUAUCCAUCUGUUGCAUUCUUCUCAUACUUGAAGAAGGCCCCAAGACAGGAACAGUUCUCAAGGCAUGCUUUUCUGCAGGCUUCUAAAUCUUUGAUCUUGGGAAUUGCAGCAUCCAAAUCAAUGACAUUGAAGUAGGUAGCAUUACGCACUUCAAUGAGACGGUGCUCGUCAAGUGAAGGAUAGCAGGACAAGGGUGUAAUCCUGUGGCAACCCUGAUCAGGCAAUUGAUAUUGAAUCGGCCUGAAAUAUUGAUCACCAUCCAAGCUUUCAGGGCAGCUGCAUUGCUUAUCCCUGCAAAGACCAUAAUUCCCACAUCUGCGAGGGUACUGACAUUCACCUAGGUCCUGUUCAACUAGAUCAACAAUUACCCUCAUUCCAUUUGAAUCCAUGUGCUGAUAUAUCCUUACGUGCCCAUCAAUAUCAAGUUUCAUAUAAAUGAUAGAGUCGAAGGGAAAUUGAAGGACUUUUGGUCCAGACAAAGUUUGAAAUCUUCCUAAGUUCACAAGCAAUCCUCUAAAUGUAAAUUCUGCAUAAUUUGGCUUUUCACUGCCUUUCAAGCUUUUAUUCGGCACUAACUGAUAAUACAUUUGUGAUUGGCCAUGACUGACUUCAGUGAAUGCAGCAAAGCCAAUGAUGGGCAUUAGUGUGGCAUAGUACAGGCCACUGCUCCAGUUGGACCUGGAGGAGCCUGCAUUGAGCUUUUGACCCUCAUAUAAACGCUGUCCAGUGAGCAACGUAUCAGUUGGGUGGUCAAAAGACUGCCAAACAAUGGCUCCCCUUUCAUCAAAGAGAACCAAAUUUCCUGAUUCAGUAAGAUUCAUUCCUUGCACAGACUUUCCCGAUGUAUUCGUUGACCACACCUUGGUGCCAUCGAAAUCUAGUAGUACUAGAUCGCCAUCUCCUGUAAGUUGUAAAGUAGCAUUCUCUUGUAGUCGAUAGUCUCUAUUCGCCGACCAAACUAAAUUGGAGCCACCCCCUUCAGCAACAAUUGAGAAUAAGUAGGAGUUGCAGGGAUCAAUGCAGUAAAAUCCACAAACAAAACCAACAGACUUCCGUCUUGAGAGGAGGCUCACUCUUACCAUUGAGUUGUCAUCAUAAGUCCUAGACAUAUUGAUGAACUCAUUGUUAUACCAUAUUGAUGGAGAGCUGGAAUUAAGGUAGAAUAUUGAGCUAGCCAUUGACACUGAAGUACUUCCAAUGAUUGUAACAGCAGUUUGGGCAAAGCAAACACUCGGAAAAAUGGAGAGAACUGAAAAUAAACUGAUCAUAAAGCAGGUCAUGAUCCCUUUCAGGUCUCCAAUUCUUUCUUGUCUUUCUUCUUCUUCUUCUUCUUCUUUUUUUUUAAGAUUACUUCCUUUGGCUCUGAUUUUUAUCACAAACUGUUGAGGAAUGCCGUACCUUACGGCAGAAAUCAAGGAACCCAAACGUUGAAAAAUGUUGAAUCAAGGAACAAAAACGCGUAAGCUGAAACCAGGUAAAAGUGUUCCCCAGUUCUUUGUAUAAAUAGGAGAUGUACAAUCGAAAUUAGAAAGAAAUAAAAUCUUAUUCUUUCCUGUAUUUAAUUUUUCCUUUUCGCUCCUUUCGCUUCUGCUCCAAUUUUAUCAUGGUAUCAGAGCAGUUCCCACGAAAAUCCCCUUCAAUCUCACGAUCUAAUCCUCCACAGCUUCUGCGAACAGUUUGCAGAGAUUUUUUUUUCUCAUCCACAAAAUUCCGUCGGCGACCAUCACCAUCAACUCCACAGGAUUUGACGCCACCGUCACCACGAACCCUGCCGCAAACCUGGCCUUGCAUACACCUACCGCUGCAGCACCAGGCGGAUUCAUUCACGAUCCCUCGUCCCCAUCGUCACGUAUAAGUUUGGUUACCGUCGGGAUCCAGAUCGUGCAACAGGAAGACGUCGCCGCGCUCUUAUC